CUUGAAUAGCUUAAUGAUUGGGUAAUUGGUUGUUCGUAUGGUUCAUGUGACGCAUGUUCUUGUACCUCUAGGACACUAGGAGGAUAUUGGACAUCUUCGUUGGAGCAAACGAAAGGUUUCGUUUACCAUCGGUGGGUUUGGCUUCAUGAAAACGGGGCGAAACGGCCCCUAAGCAUUCUAAACUCUUCGUAUACUAUUUUUGAAUGCAUAUUUAUGCUAAGUAGUAUUUAUGUGAAUUUUGGAACCCCUGAAAUACAUGUGUUAUGUAUAAGAAAAUUUUCACUCUAUAUGUUAGAGCAUUCUGGGUAUUGUUGCAUGCACUCGGGUAGAGCUCUCGCUAGUCAUUUGGAAACACGCUUUAAAUGCUUAAAAUGGUUCAAUUAUGUAAUUAUGAAC
rnacentral:lncRNA from 1 species